AUUGAACGCUGGCGGCAGGCCUAACACAUGCAAGUCGAGCGAAUGAGGGAAGCUUGCUUCCCGAUUUAGCGGCGGACGGGUGAGUAAUGCCUAGGAAUCUGCCUAUUAGUGGGGGAUAACGUUCCGAAAGGAACGCUAAUACCGCAUACGUCCUACGGGAGAAAGUGGGGGAUCUUCGGACCUCACGCUAAUAGAUGAGCCUAGGUCGGAUUAGCUAGUUGGUGAGGUAACGGCUCACCAAGGCGACGAUCCGUAGCUGGUCUGAGAGGAUGGUCAGCCACACUGGAACUGAGACACCGUCCAGACUCCUACGGGAGGCAGCAGUGGGGAAUAUUGGGCAAUGGGCGAAAGCCUGAUCCAGCCAUGCCGCGUGUGUGAAGAAGGUCUUCGGAUUGUAAAGCACUUUAAGUUGGGAGGAAGGGUUGUAAGCUAAUAUCUUGCAGCUUUGACGUUACCAACAGAAUAAGCACCGGCUAACUCUGUGCCAGCCGCCGCUGUAAUAC
rnacentral:rRNA from 1 species